rnacentral:rRNA from 1 species
AGAGUUUGAUCCUGGCUCAGGACGAACGCUGGCGGCAUGCCUAAUACAUGCAAGUCGAACGCGACCAGCCGGUGCUUGCACUGGCGAAGUCGAGUGGCGAACGGGUGAGUAACACGUGAGAAACCUACCCUGGAGUGGGGAAUAACUCGAAGAAAUUCGAGCUAAUACCGCAUACCUUCUUACCGUCGAAUGGUGGUUUGAAGAAAGAUUUAUCGCUCUGGGAGGGUCUCGCGGCCUAUCAGCUAGUUGGUGAGGUAACGGCUCACCAAGGCAUCGACGGGUAGCUGGUCUGAGAGGACGAUCAGCCACACUGGAACUGAGACACGGUCCAGACUCCUACGGGAGGCAGCAGUAGGGAAUCUUGCGCAAUGGGCGAAAGCCUGACGCAGCAAUGCCGCGUGCGGGACGAAGGCCCUAGGGUCGUAAACCGCUUUCAGUAGGGACGAAAAUGACGGUACCUGCAGAAGAAGCUCCGGCCAACUACGUGCCAGCAGCCGCGGUGAUACGUAGGGAGCAAGCGUUGUCCGGAAUUACUGGGCGUAAAGGGCUCGUAGGUGGUUGAGUAAGUCAGAUGUGAAAUCUCAGGGCCCAACCCUGAGCGUGCAUUUGAUACUGCUCUGACUAGAGUCCGGUAGGGGAGUGCGGAAUUCCUGGUGUAGCGGUGAAAUGCGCAGAUAUCAGGAGGAACACCGACAGCGAAGGCAGCACUCUGGGCCGGUACUGACACUGAGGAGCGAAAGCAUGGGUAGCAAACAGGAUUAGAUACCCUGGUAGUCCAUGCCGUAAACGUUGGGCACUAGGUGUGGGGAGAACUCAACUCUCUCCGCGCCGUAGCUAACGCAUUAAGUGCCCCGCCUGGGGAGUACGGCCGCAAGGCUAAAACACAAAGGAAUUGACGGGGGCCCGCACAAGCGGCGGAGCGUGUUGCUUAAUUCGAGGCAACGCGAAGAACCUUACCUGGGUUGAACUACGUGGGAAAAGCCGCAGAGAUGCGGUGUCCUUCGGGGUCCACGAUAGGUGGUGCAUGGCUGUCGUCAGCUCGUGUCGUGAGAUGUUGGGUUAAGUCCCGCAACGAGCGCAACCCUUGUCCUAUGUUGCCAGCGGGUAAAGCCGGGGACUCGUAGGAGACUGCCGGGGUCAACUCGGAGGAAGGUGGGGACGACGUCAAGUCAUCAUGCCCCUUAUGUCCAGGGCUGCA